rnacentral:rRNA from 1 species
UACGAAGGGGGCUAGCGUUGCUCGGAAUUACUGGGCGUAAAGGGUUUGUAGGUGGCUUGCUAAGCCAGACGUGAAAUCCCUCAGCUUAACUGGGGAACUGCGUCUGAGACUGGUGAGCUUGAGUGCAGGAGAGGAACGCGGAAUUCCAGGUGUAGCGGUGAAAUGCGUAGAUAUCUGGAGGAACACCGGUGGCGAAGGCGGCGUUCUGGACUGCUACUGACACUGAGGAACGAAAGCCAGGGGGGCAAACGGG